ensembl:lncRNA
UUUUGCUCCUCUUGAGAAACAUCAGCUGCGUGCUCCAGGCAAAUUCCUAAGGCUCUAUGUUAAGAUGUACUGGAAGGAGCCUCAGAAAAAAAUGAAAACAGUUGAUAUCAGGAUGUUGGAAUUACAGCUGACCUUUGAACAACAUGGGUUUGAACUGCAUGGAUUGACUGUACAUGGAAUUUUUUCAAUACACUUUGGAUGGGUGAAUGCAGGUUCCCAGGAGGCAGCACCAUAAACAGCAGCAGCAGGAAGAGCAACACCAGGUAUGGUCAUCCUCUGAACUCAGAUCGCGUUGGUAACACGUGUGGGUGUGUCUGCCUAACGGAGUGGGUGGAGGACCAGACCACUGAUAACUCCCCGUCAAGUGAAAACAAGACAUCUUCACACAGAGCCCAACGUGUUGCAGAUCCCAUUAGAGCAGUGCAGCUGGCUUGCAGCUGUUACCUGGCAGCUCCACACCUGGCUCUGUGAAACACACUAAUUGGCAUCAAGGUUUAGCCGGACACCUGAUUGGCUGGGCUGCAAAGGAAAAUUUUAAGCUCAUCAGCGUGGUAGAUUUGCAGCCUGGAACACAGGCAGAGCAUUCUAUGCACAAGAGAGUCUGAGCUUAACAUAAGCGAACUCAUCCACUGAGCCCCAGAGAGAAAACUUAAAAAUAAUGCGGUAUUACCCAAGACAGAUUUCCGUGAAUAGAAGAGCUCCCAGACCACCUGCAAAAUGGAGCAAAGAUUCAUGCCUGGAGCUGGAAAUAAAAAAAUACCAGCCUCAAAGUCCAUGCUAUUAGGCCAUGGGUGAGGCACCUUGCCCAUUUACAAACGAGAAAGGUUCAAUGCUCUGGUGACUCUGUG